UUUCAUCAUUUUGAUGAGGUGACGCACU
rnacentral:sRNA from 1 species